GGAUCAAUAUGUUGGUCGUGCCUUGGUACGUACUAGUUUAUUGGUUUCUUCCUUCUGACGAACCAUGAUGUCAUUAAUUUGGUGUCUUGGGGAAUCAGGACUGUUACUUUGAAAAAAUUAGAGUGUUUAAAGCAGGCUCACGCUUGAAUACAUUAGCAUGGAAUAAUGAAAUAGGACGUUUGAUUCUAUUUUGUUGGUUUCUAGGAUCGACGUAAUGAUUAAUAGGGAUAGUUG
rnacentral:rRNA from 1 species